rnacentral:misc_RNA from 1 species
CCCCUUUUCUUUUCUAGGCUAGAUGGGAGGGUUAGUGCCAUUUAUGGCAACAGGAGUUGUGGGAGACAGGAGCUUUAAUAAUGGAAGCAUUGGUCGUUAGGUGAUGGGUGAAUGGUCGGGUAGAAUUGCUAUCCUUUUGAUACAAAGCAUUAGAUGCCACUGCAAGUUUGUCAAACGGAUAUAAACAUCUGGUUGUAAGCACUUCCACUGAAGAAAAUGGUCCCAAUAAAGAAGGUACCACAUGCCUUUUCUUUCAACUUUUGUUGGUUUCAGUCCAUGUGAUCGCAGAGAAGUUAGCUUGUGCG